rnacentral:rRNA from 1 species
GACGUAGGGCGCGAGCGUUGUCCGGAUUUAUUGGGCGUAAAGAGCUUGUAGGCGGUUUGUCGCGUCUGCUGUGAAAAUCCGGGGCUCAACUCCGGACUUGCAGUGGGUACGGGCAGGCUAGAGUGUGGUAGGGGAGACUGGAAUUCCUGGUGUAGCGGUGGAAUGCGCAGAUAUCAGGAGGAACACCGAUGGCGAAGGCAGGUCUCUGGGCCACUACUGACGCUGAGAAGCGAAAGCAUGGGGAGCGAACAGG